UCGAUGAAUGAGAGCAAAUAAGUAAGAAGAAAAAUUAGUUUUGAAGAAAGAGAGAGAUAGAGAGAGAAGAACCUCUUAAUCUCUUGGUUUCCCGUGAGCCUUUUCAGGUGGUAAGCGAUCUUUAGUGUCGACGGCAGCGUGCUAUCUCGUCUAGGGCUUGUAUCAAACUUUAGGCUUUUUGUUCUUUGUAUAUGUGUUAGGACUUUUAGUUUUUCUUUUGUUUUUCCUUCAGGCGCUUAGUCUCCCUUCUGUAAAAAAAAAAAAAAGGCGCGAUAAAGUUAUAAGAGGGAAAAUGGGAAGGGAAAGCACAACCGACCCAGUAGUCCUUUUUUUUUUUUCAGAAACCGUCGCCAAACAUGCAUCUAUUGCAAUAGUUCAGGGAACCGUCACUAUACAUCAAUCUACAGCGAUGGUUUAAUCCCUAAUGCAACAAUUUAUUUUGCUACCUAUCUCAGUAGGUCUGAGAGGAAUAUGCGACGGUUGCAACCGUAGCCAUAGAUAUUUUAUUGCAACGUUUACAUAACCGUUGCUAAAUAACUGUUGCGAUAGGUCUAUUUUCUAGUAGUGUAGAUAUAGUACCGAACAAUCCUAUAAAUCAUUGUCUAUCAAAAUGUAAAAAAAAUAAGAAAAGAAUGGGAUAGAAGGGGACUUCGAGGCCUGCGGGCAGGUUUACCUUGAAGUCUCCAAAGCAACAAUACAGGGCACUAAUAUUGAGGCUGAUAGGAUGUACCUGGAUCUGCACAAAACAUGCGCAAAAGCAUAGUAUGAAUACACCACAACGGUACCCAGUAAGUGCCAAGCUUAACCUCAGUAGAGUAGUGAUGAGGUCGGGUCAAGUCCCUACUGGGAUAAUAAGAAACAAGAUAGAGAUAAUCUAAUAUAAUGAAAAUGACAGGGAAGUGAACAACAAAGAAAUUACGGGAAAUAACAACACGGAAUCAAUGAAAGCUAAUACAACACGAAAGAAAAAUAAGAAUUUUACAUGUUAAGGAAAACAAUAACCAAAUAAUACAGCAAUUAAAGAAUAUCAGCAGGGGCACUCCCCAGGUACCGCCUCAUAGUCCCAAAUCGUAAAAACAAAUCAUAAUAUUUCCUUAUAUCACUGCGGGACCCUUUAUAUUUGGGUUUUGAAAACUAUUUUUCCGAAAUAACAUCCCGUGUUUUAGCCCACCUUAUCAUACCGUAUGGUCUCUAGUAGUUCCCCUACUAGCCAUGCGUAUCAAGCUCACCUUAUCACACCGUAUGUGUUUCAACACCCAGACCUUAUACCACCGCAUGCGUAUCAAUAAUCACAACGGCAUGGAAAAAACCUCGUGCAAUAAUAACAACCACACGGCAGAAACCUUAUGCAACAAUAACAGCAGCACGACAGAAACCUCAUGCAAACAACCAAACAAUCACCUCAACAAUAACACAAAAGCCAAAACAGAACAACUGAAUAAAUAGUAUUCCAAGGAUGGCAAUUUCAAGUAAAGAAUUUCCAUAGUUAAGUAAUGAAUACGGAAAUCAAGAAAAGCAAGUAAUUCAACUAAACAUCUUACACAAGUAGCAAGUAGGAGAUGCGACAAGUAGACAUGUGAAAUUAGGCUAAACAUGAUGACUAUAACGUGCUAAAAUAGCUCAAUUAAGGCAUGAAAAGGAAACUAUGUAGCAAAAAUCGUAAUUUCAACAUUUAGCCCGUGUACGCACUCGCCACCUUACGUACACAACCUUCACAUAUCACAAGUGAUCACCAAAAUACCAAAUCCUAAGGGGAAUUUCCCCCACGCAAGGUUAGAAAAGUCAUUUACCUCAAACCAAGCUCAAUCAAUCAAUUAGAAGGUCUUUUUCUCGAUUUUCCAACUCCGGACGACUCGAAUCUAGCCGAAAUAAUUUCAUACUAUAAAUAUAACUAUAGGAAACUAAUUUAAAUAAUGAAAUAAUGAACUUAGCUAAGAAUUGAAAAAUCGCUCCAAAAAGUCGACUCGGGCCCACGUCUUAGAACCCGACCAAAAACAUAAAAUCCGAAUACUCAUUCGAUAUUGAGUCCAACCAUACAAGAAUUAUCCAAAUCCGACUUCAUGUAGCCUUUCAAAACCCAAAAACUUGGUCUAAGAACUUUUACACUUUUCCCCCAAUUUUAAACUACAAAACCAUAAUUAAAAGGUGUAAUUAACAGUAGAUUCAUGGGAAUUAAUAAAAAACGAGUCAAGAAUUCUUACCCAAAUGCUUCCUCUGAAAAUCUCUUAAAAUCUCGCCUCAAUCCGAGCUCUCAAAGUCCCAGAAUGAAAAUGAAAUCAAACCCUCAAUUUUUCCCUUUUUGCCCAGUCUUUCCGCACCUGCGACAACUUAGCCGCAUAUGCGGUGUCGCAGAAGCGACAAUCCUUCCGCUUCUGUGGUGAAUCACUGGAACCAAGCCCUUGCGCCUGCGGAAAAUGCUCCGCUUCUGCGCAAACGCAGAUGCGACCAUCUUUCCGCUCCUACGAUGAACCCUCGCUUCUGCGCUCUACCUCUCCGCAUCUGCGACCAUAUAGGUGCGGACAAUCCUUCACGCCUGCGACCACAUCCUUUCUCACUCCUGACCGCAUCUGCACUUCCCAGCUUGCACUUGCGAUGAAAGCUCCGCAAGUGCGAUUGCACCAGAAGACUCCAGCAACAGCACCCCUUUUAACUCUAAACUUGAACCGAUAAUCAUCUGAGCUUCACCCGAGGCCCCCGAGACCUCAAACAAAUAUACCAACAAGUCCUAAAACACGAUACGAACUUAGUCGAGCCUUCAAAUCACCUCAAACAAUAUUAAAAAUAAAAAUCGCACCACAAUUCAAGCCUAAUGAACUUAUAAACUUUUAACUUCUACAUUCGAUGCCGAAACCUAUCAAAUCACGUCCGAUUGACCUCAAUUUUUGCAUACAAGUCAUAAAUGACAUUACGGACUUACUCUAACUUGCGGAAUUUGAAUCCAACCCCGAUAUCCAAAAGUUCACUCCCGGUCAAACUUUCUAAAAUCUUCCAACUUUCCAACUUUCGCCAAUUUAUGCCGAAACAAUCUACGGACCUUCAAACCGACAUCCGGACAUGCUCCUAAGACCAAAAUCACCAUACAGAGCUAUUGGAACUAACAAAACUCCAUUCCGGAAUCGUCUUUACUCAAGUCAAACUAUGGUCAACUCCUACGACUUAAACUUCCAAUUUAGGGACUAUAUAUGUGUCCCAUUUCGCUCUGAAAACCAAAAAUCAAAGCUCCCGGCAAGUCAUAUAACUAUAGUAUAACACAAAGAAAGCAAUAAAUAGGGGGUCAGGGUUAAUACUCUCAAAACGAUCGGCCGGGUCGUUACACUAAGUGUACAUACAAAUUAUGUGAAUUAUCCAAUGUACAACAUUACAAGUUACCCGAAUUAUUAACUAAAUGCAAUUCACCCUAAAUGUUUGGCAGGUAGAUAAAUAUCAAAGCAAGCAAGCAAAUACGACAUCUAUCUACUAUUUUACUAUAUUUUACGUUUUGAGUAUAUCCGAGAAUGAGAAGUACGAAGCGGGGAUUCUAUGAGGGUUCAUCUUCAAUCCUUCUCCAAAUAUCAUCUUUAGAAAGCGAUUUCAUAUGAUAGUACCCCGCAGGGCAAAACAAGUGAAAUUAUUUGUAAAAUAUAAAGUAAACAAUAAACUAAUUUAUUCUGAAAUGAUUUUAUUUGAAAAUAUUUUUGGGAAAUUAUUUUUGGAAAUAUUUUUGGGAAAUUAUUUUUGGAAAUAGUUUGAAAA
rnacentral:lncRNA from 1 species